UACGUAGGGGGUAAGCGUUGUCCGGAUUUAUUGGGCGUAAAGAGCGUGUAGGCGGCCAUACAGGUCAGCUGUGAAAACUCGAGGCUCAACCUCGAGACGUCGGUUGAAACCGUAUGGCUAGAGUCCGGAAGAGGAGAGUGGAAUUCCCGGUGUAGCGGUGAAAUGCGCAGAUAUCGGGAAGAACACCCGUGGCGAAGGCGGCCCUCUGGGACGGUACUGACGCUGAGACGCGAAAGCGUGGGGAGCGAACAGG
rnacentral:rRNA from 1 species